GAAUAACAACAACCAAAUAAAUAUUCCAUUUUAAACAACAAUUGUAAAUAAAAUAGCAAGGUAAAUAAGCAAAAAGAAGCGCCCAAAUACUGACCAAUAUAAAUUGCAUCGGCUUGUUGAAUAAUCCAUCUAAAGAAUGUUUACUCAUUUUAAAAAAGUAAAAUGUACUACAAAACUGAAUUAUGUUACAACAAUCUGAUAUGAACAUGUCUUUAAACGCAGAUUAAGGAACCUUGAUAGUAAGCUUAAAUGUCACACUGAAAAAACUGCACUAAACUGUUAUAAUUUUGUGUAUGAAAAUACUAAACUUAAAAAUAUAAUUUAUGCAAUUCUGUAAAGGAUGAAAUGUGAAACAUUGUCCUUCAUCAUAUAACACAUUUAAAGUAUCGUUACACGAUGAACACUGAAAUAGGAUCAUGUAAACCUAGCCACUUGAUAAAUUGUAAUUUCUGCCAUUUAAGUACAAACACGUCUUUAGUGCAAUGUUGAUUGGAGCAAAACGAAGGUUAUACACAUUAUAUCAGUUAACAUUAUUGUCAUCCGACACAAAUAUAGAGCACCUGAUUAAAGAGGCUUUGAAAAUCCAAAAAUUGUUAAAGUAUUGUUACCUUCCGACAGAACCUGUAUCAAUUGGUUCACUAUAAACAUAUAGCAAACUGAUGUUUAUAUCGUUGUUUCAUGAACAUAAAGUAUAUGUACAUAUUCAAUUUCGAAGCAAUAAAUCCAUUGUAAUUUGAACUUUUAAAUCAAGUAAAGUUUUUAAUAUGACUGUAACCUUGACGUGACUGGCCUUAAAUAAUGAAUUGCCCUAAAUGAAAUUUCAUACUUUGUCUGCAUGUAAGUUACUUGCAAACACCCGUCAUUGCAAUAUCUAAAUAUAAUUUGAUUUUUAGCCAAUACUAUGUUUAUACUUAUUGUAGAAAAAACAUUGAUCUUUAAUUGAACUGACCCAAACUUCACAUCCAAUCGAAUCCAGACUUGAUAUGUUCAAAGUUGCAUCAAGGUUCCGGUCAAUCAAACCUUAAGUCAUGGAUGAGAAUGCGGUUUUUACGUCAGCACCUGCUCAACCAUCAAAAGAUUAAAAUGCUGAUAAAAUAAUGACUCAAUAUCUUUCUAAAAAAUAAACACAGAGUGAACACAGACUUGUAGCCCAGUGACCAAUAUUUAGAAUUUGUAAAGGACUUAUUGAACAUACUUGUCAUGAAUUGAACGUUGAAAUUGUUAUCUCAAAAAUCUUAUAUCAAGCAUUUGAAUAUUGAAUAUUAGAAUAGGUCGAAACAUUAUCUUGGUGUGAUGUGUUGUUUUCAUGUUGCAAACUCAUUUGACCAUAACAUCUCACAUGUUAACAUCUUUUUUUCCCUUUGAGUAGCAAGCAUAAUAACAAGGGUGAUAAUAGGUACAAUAAAUUAACAACAAAUAACUUCUGAAACUAUAUAUUAUAAAGUAUAACGAAAGAAAAGGGACAAUAAUACUACAACGGCGGUUCAGCCUAAAUAUCGUCUUAACGAUCACUUACAUAUGAUAACGGAAUUCGACAUUGCAAGUUGGAGCAAUUUCCGUAAACCAGUAAAAGAUGUGAUGAGAUUACACUAUUUCGGGAACAAGCUAUUUUAUAAUGGAUAACAAAGUAAAAAGAAAUAUUUUGAACGAAUUUAAACACUAUUCGAAUAAGUUGAAAAUCACAAUCGUUUCUUCAAAGAAGCCUUAUGGUAUCAACUCAUGAAACCGAGUGAUUCGAUAGGAAUUUACAACAUCCUUAAGAUCACAUAUGCAGUAUAUGAAUGAUAUAGAGUAAGUAGCAUGAACUUAUUGCAAGUUUGCCUCCACUUUUUAUUGCAAAAACAAUAUGCUUGGGUUUGUUCCAUUAUGUUGAUGACAUAGGUCAUAAGUCUAAGCAUUUCACAAGUAAAACGGGCCCAAUGUCGAUAUGCGCAAAACACCUAUAUCUAUUGAGUAGUGUUAUUGGGGAUUGACAAUCAACAACUUACUUUGCAUGAUACACAUUGUUACGAUUGAACCCAUUUCUAUGUUAUUUUAUGGUAAUUAUCGGGCCUCAAUUGUAUAGGACUUUACAUUUGUCAAGUUAUGUAAGUUUUCAGAUUUUUCAGUUUGAUGGUUAUUAUAGGGGUUUUAAGCAAGUUUUUGUUAACCACAUUAUUCAGUGUGGUAGAAGAUACAUUGUAAGCCAAAACACGUUUGAAUACGUUAAAUUUUAAGAAACUUCAAUCUUCAUAUUUUUGUAAAUUGUUAUGUUUUUCUGUAAAGUUAGACUUACGGGCCUCAGUAAAUUACGCUUUUAGUCGUACGAUAUCGGGUGAUGUGUACAUGAUCGAUUUUAUGUCUAAUUGUAUUGGUCAGUGAAGAAAAGUUGUUCAGUUUGAGUUCAUGGAGAGCAUGUUCCUCGAUUUUUCGGUAAACUCUGCUGGGCGGUUACACGUAUAAAUCGACAGACUAUUUGACAUACACGGACAGUUAUAGCUUUGAGACUAGAGCACUAGCUGGGACGUAAGUGUCCAUAACAUACGGCAUUUGGCCGUUUCAAUGUGGGUAGUCGUUUGGCAUGGUAGACAUCAGGUCGUCAACGCACCGUUAGCGUUACGCCAGUGCUACAUGAGCAUCUGCAAGUCUACAGGGCGUCAUACUCGUUGACAUUACAGACGACACCUCGUUAUAAGGCGAAAUAAGGGGAACCGUUCGCACCGGUAUACGGCCGGUCACGUAAAUGUCAUCAGUACGUUCUACUUCCGGGCAAAGUCUGCUCGGCGUUUGACAACGUUCUACUUCCGGGCAUCGUCUGCUCAGUGUUUGACAGAACACUACUUACGGGCUUGAUACAGCUCGGAUAUCUACAGUCUAUUUCCGGGCUUGAUACAGCUCGGGUUAUCUGCACUCUACUUUCGGGCUUGAUACAGCUCGAAGUUUGCUACGUCGCAGAACAAUAACACCGGUACUCAGUUCCGGUUCUGGUCAUUGACGGCUGGACAUAGGUUCAGGUCGUGACAUUCAAUAGUGCUCCACCACUACAUUUAACAUCUACAGUUGAACUACGUUAACUGGCCAUUAACUUUGAUAAUUUGUUGGUUUAUUUAUUUUGAUAGUCAUAUCAUAUUGUAAAUAGUUUAUUUUAAUGUUGUAAAUAAAUUUAUUUAUUGUU